rnacentral:lncRNA from 1 species
GGGGGGAGGGGGGUUCCAACUAUGUGUCCCAAUUCAAAUGCAUUGAUCGGCCAAAAAAAGGGGUGUUCCAACCCUGGAUCCACCAAUGAUGUAGGAGUUGAUAUUGAUACCACUACCCAUUAGCCAAAUUACCAAAGAACAGAGAUUUUCAUAAUUACAGAAUGUCUGGUUCGGGUUUAAAAAUAAAUGACAGUUUACAAAAAAAAGAGCGAAAGUAAACAGGUCCGAGGUCGUGAAGAAAUGAACUUUGUGAUAAUCUACUCGUUUCCCAAAACUGAAAUAGUUCUAUCGUCUGCUUUCAAAAUACUUUUAAAAUGAAUGUGACCGUCUUUAGUCUGAAAUGUAUGCCAUACUGACAUUUUCAGCAUGUUUAAGAUGACAAAAUGACAACUGCGUCUUCAAAACAACUGUUUACUUUCAGUUUCUGUUUUUC